AAAUCGAUUGGCUCAUUUAGGAUGUGCUCCAAACAUUUGGCGAACUUUUUUUCGCCUUUUCAACGUGCUAAGUAACAAGUUAAGAUGACUGCCAUCAUGGGCCGGUAAGAAACCGCAAGCAAAGGGCAGACAACCUUCCAGGAAGCUGCCUCCUGUCCCCGAGCCGAAGCUGCAGUUCAGCAAGAGCAGGUCAGCAAAUUGCUACCCUGAUCAAACGUAAACUAAAGCGCUCUGCUGUGAUUGCACUCCGUAAAUGUGAAAACUUGGUGCAUGCUGAGAAAUAUCAAA